AAUGUGUAGAUCUGACAAAAGUUAGAAAGGCGUAUGAUAAAUUAGCUAAUUGUUCUUCUUGGUGCAAGCCUUUUUUUUUUUUUUUUUCCUCCUUUACCCAUAACACAUGUUAUAGAUCACUGGAGGAAAGGCUAAGCCCCACGCCAUAUGUAGGCAUUAAAUAAUACAAAGGGCACAGCCCUUUGAAAACAUACAUUGCCAUAACACAAUGAUGAAAGGGGAAAAGCAAAAAUAGCAAAUUGAGAAUCAAAGCCUCACUUUCCACAUGUGGAAACGUUUGCUGGAAUCAUGGCAAGAUCCACUGGCCCCAGAUUGGUUGUAUUAGUUGUUUCAGAAGAUACGAAUGAAUCACUGGAACCCCAAUCUCAUUUUAGAGGACUUGCUCGUCAUUAGGAGAAUGUAGCACUGACAUCACUAUAACUAAUCAUGCAGACAGAUGACAAAGUAGAACCUUCAAACUGUUCCAUUUGUAGAACCUCUCAGCUUCAGAAACACAAUCUGUACUAGGAAGAAAACACAGGAACCUCUCUCUCUGAUCACUAGUGCUAUCCCAGGAUGAAGCAGUGGUGAUGGGUGAACACGGAUGAUGUGAAAACCACGGAACAGACCACACUUCUCGCAGGAAGGUGGGAAUGUGCCCUGGGCCAUUUUCCUAGUCCUGCUUUCUCUGACGCAGCUUCUAUCCCCAAACCAGGAGGACCAGCUAUGAAAAGAUAGAGGUGAGAGGUACCAGUGUAGAAAUGGAUUCCGACCAGGUUCCUGACCCCUGGGUGCCGACGCCUUGUGUUGUCCACAUCAGUCCAGAGAGAGACCUUAUGUGGAUGUUACUACAUGUUACAGCACUUGGCUAUGAGAAGUAGAAGAUAAUCGAAUUUUCCCACCAUUCCUGUGUUUCGAGGGCACACGCGUGUGCUUUUACUAUAAGCAACAAGUAUGUUUGGUAACAGAUCCUAUGGAAAGGAAGCUUGGCAGAAGGCUUUCCAAAUUUGACGGCCAUCCGAAAAACUUGCACGCUAUUUCCCACGAUGAGUUAUGGCCCAGAAAGAAACCUUUCUAACCCAACAGUGAUGAAGGGACCCAUUGCGAUCAGCCGUGCUGGAGGAAGACAGAGUUACUGCCUCGUGAAAAAGACAUCAAAGACUGGGCAGUCCGAAGGUGCAGGGCAAAGAAGGAAGACAGAGAGGUGUCAGGCAGUUCGUUAGUGGACGUGCCAUUUCUCUGGAUUUCGUGAUAGUUAUGGUAUUUGCCAGCUCUCCAACAUUUGUCAUGUGCUGUGAUUUUCCUUUCUUCGGCUCGGGUCACCAUCUCACGGUGUGUGAGUUCGAGCCCCACAUCUGGCUCCCCGCUGACAGUGUGGAGCCUGCUUGGGAGCUCUCUCUCCCUCGCUCUCUGCCC